UCCCUGGUAGUCCAGUGGCUAGGACUGUGCACUCCCAAAGCAGGGGUCCUGGGUUCAAUCCCUUGUUAGGGAA
rnacentral:tRNA from 1 species